rnacentral:rRNA from 1 species
UGGUCAAGUAUAAAGAGCAUAAGGCGAAUGCCUUGGCACCGGAAGCCGAUGAAGGACGUGACAAGCUGCGAAAAGCUGCGGUAAGGAGCAAAUAUCCGUUAACCCGCAGAUCUCCGAAUG